AACGAACGCUGGCGGCAGGCCUAACACAUGCAAGUCGAACGCUCCGUAAGGAGAGUGGCAGACGGGUGAGUAACACGUGGGAAUCUUCCUAUCGGUACGGAAUAGCUCAGGGAAACUUGAGGUAAUACCGCAUACGCCCUUCGGGGGAAAGAUUUAUCGCCGAUAGAUGAGCCCGCGUCUGAUUAGCUAGUUGGUGAGGUAAUGGCUCACCAAGGCGACGAUCAGUAGCUGGUCUGAGAGGAUGACCAGCCACACUGGGACGGAGACACGGCCCAGACUCCUACGGGAGGCAGCAGUGGGGAAUAUUGGACAAUGGGCGCAAGCCUGAUCCAGCCAUGCCGCGUGAGUGACGAAGGUCUUCGGAUUGUAAAGCUCUUUUACCAGGGACGAUAAUGACGGUACCUGGAGAAUAAGCCCCGGCUAACUUCGUGCCAGCCGCCGCGGUAA
rnacentral:rRNA from 1 species